AUGGGCGCCUGCCUGUCCUCCUCCAAGCAGGAGGCGGACGCGGAGCGGCGGCGGCGGCAGCGGCCGAGGGGCGGCAAGGCCGAGGAGAAGGGCGCGGCGGCGGAGGCGCCCGCGGUGGAGUUCGGCUACGAGCGGGACUUCGAGGGCAGGUACGAGGUCGGCCGCCUGCUCGGCCACGGCCAGUUCGGCUACACCUUCGCCGCCGUCGACCGCCUCUCCGGGGACCGCGUCGCCGUCAAGCGCAUCGACAAGGCCAAGAUGACCCGACCUGUUGCUGUGGAAGAUGUAAAGAGAGAAGUGAAGAUUCUUAAAGCCCUUAAAGGCCAUGAGAACAUUGUUCACUUCGACAAUGCAUUCGAGGACGAUUCAUAUGUGUAUAUUGUGAUGGAACUUUGUGAAGGUGGUGAACUAUUGGACCGGAUUUUGGCAAAAAAAAACAGCCGCUAUAGUGAGAAAGACGCUGCAGUGGUGGUGCGGCAGAUGCUCAAAGUGGCUGCUGAGUGUCAUCUGCGUGGGUUAGUCCAUCGAGAUAUGAAGCCUGAGAACUUCCUUUUCAAAUCAACCAAGGAGGACUCGCCUCUGAAGGCAACAGAUUUUGGUUUGUCAGACUUCAUAAAACCAGGGAAGAAGUUCCGUGAUAUAGUUGGCAGUGCCUAUUAUGUUGCACCAGAAGUAUUAAAACGGCGGUCUGGACCUGAGUCGGAUGUUUGGAGCAUAGGAGUUAUAACUUACAUUUUGCUCUGUGGGAGGCGCCCCUUUUGGGACAAAACAGAGGAUGGCAUAUUCAAGGAGGUUCUAAGAAACAAGCCUGAUUUCCGUAAGAGACCUUGGCCAAGUAUCAGUUCAAGUGCUAAAGAUUUUGUUAAAAAAUUACUGGUGAAGAACCCAAGGGCGAGAUUGACAGCAGCUCAAGCUCUCUCACAUCCAUGGGUGAGAGAAGGAGGAGAUGCAUCUGAGAUCCCUGUCGAUAUAUCUGUGUUGUACAACAUGCGCCAAUUUGUCAAGUACAGCCGUUUUAAGCAAUUUGCGCUGCGGGCCUUAGCAAGUACAGUCAAUGAGGAAGAGCUAGCGGAUCUAAAGGACCAAUUCGAUGCUAUUGAUGUUGAUAAAAGUGGAUCAAUUAGCAUUGAAGAAAUGCGGCAUGCCCUUGCGAAGGAUCUUCCUUGGAGAUUGAAGGGCCCUCGUGUUCUCGAGAUCAUUCAAGCAAUCGACAGCAACACGGAUGGCCUUGUCGACUUCAAAGAGUUUGUUGCGGCAACUCUCCACAUACAUCAGAUGGCUGAGCUGGACUCUGAAAGGUGGGGCCUCCGCUGCCAAGCUGCUUUCAGCAAAUUUGAUCUGGAUGGGGAUGGGUACAUCACCCCCGAUGAACUUAGAAUGCACACGGGCUUAAAGGGAUCCAUCGAGCCAUUGCUGGAGGAGGCCGACAUAGACAAGGACGGGCGGAUAAGCCUGUCCGAGUUCCGCAAGCUCCUACGAACCGCGAGCAUGAGCAACCUGCCGAGCCCGUCCGGAGUUCCGAAUCCCCAGGCUCUGUGA
rnacentral:rRNA from 1 species